ACAACAGCAGCAGCAGCAGCAGCCUCAGGAUGAAGAAACACUCGCAUUGGUUUAGAUGUAUGGCUUUCUCUUCCAUGGGUGAUCAUCUCAACUGGUGUAGGGGCUAUUAUGUACAGUGUAUACAGAGCACUAGUUUUGAUUACAGGUCUUCACUAUUUUUUUUUCUUUCCUUUUUCUGUUUGUAACAUAUUUUUAGGACUUCCAUUUCCUGGCAUACAAAACAGGUAGCUGCAGUAGUGUUGUACGCCUUAGUAGGACUUCCAUUUCCUGGCAUACAAAACAGGUAGCUGCAGUAGUGUUGUACGCCUUAGUAGGACUUCCAAAAUCUCUUUUUUCCCUUUUCUUUGUCAGUCAUUUUUAAAUUUUAUAUACCCUGUAUUGGGCAAAAUUUUGCAUGUAAACUUGGGA
rnacentral:misc_RNA from 1 species